rnacentral:rRNA from 1 species
CCAAAAACCGACACUGGUGGGUGGGCAGAUAAUCUGCUGAGGCGCUUGAGAGAACUCGGGUUAAGGAACUCUGCAAAUUGAUACCGUAACUUCGGAAGAAGGUAUGCCUUCGAUCGUGAAAGGACUUGCUCCUGGAGCGAAUGAAGGUCGCAGGUAAUCGGUGGCUGCAACUGUUUAUCAAAAACACAGCACUCUGCUAACACGAAAGUGGAUGUAUAGGGUGUGACUCCUGCCCGGUGCCGGAAGGUUAAGUGAUGGGGUCAGCCGCAAGGCGAAGCUCUUGAUCGAAGCCCCGGUAAACGGCGGCCGUAACGAUAACGGUCCUAAGGUAGCGAAAUUCCUUGUCGGGUAAGUUCCGACCUGCACGAAUGGAGUAAUGAUAGCCACACUGUCUCGACCCGAGACUCAGUGAAGUUGAAAUCGCUGUGAAGAUGCGGCGUACCCGCGGCAAGACGGAAAGACCCCGUGAACCUUUACUAUAGCUUUACACUGAAUUUUGAACCUUUCUGUGUAGGAUAGGUGGGAGGCUGCGAAGUGUGGACGCUAGUUCGCAUGGAGCCAACCUUGAAAUACCACCCUGAAAUGUUCGGACUUCUAACCUAGGCCCGUAAUCCGGGUCGGGGACCGUGUAUGGUGGGUAGUUUGACUGGGGCGGUCUCCUCCCAAAGAGUAACGGAGGAGUGCAAAGGUACGCUCAGCGCGGUCGGUCAUCGCGCUCUAGAGUGCAAAGGCAUAAGCGUGCUUAACUGCGAGACGGACAGGCCGAGCAGAUACGAAAGUAGGUCUUAGUGAUCCGGUGGUUCUGUAUGGAAGGGCCAUCGCUUAACGGAUAAAAGGUACUCCGGGGAUAACAGGCUUAUUCCUCCCAAGAGUCCACAUCGACGGAGGAGUUUGGCACCUCGAUGUCGGCUCAUCACAUCCUGGGGCUGUAGCAGGUCCCAAGGGUAUGGCUGUUCGCCAUUUAAAGUGGUACGCGAGCUGGGUUCAGAACGUCGUGAGACAGUUCGGUCCCUAUCUGCCGUGGGCGUUGGAGAAUUGAGGGUGAGCUGCUCCUAGUACGAGAGGACCGGAGUGGACGUAUCUCUGGUGUUCCGGUUGUCACGCCAGUGGCACUGCCGGGUAGCUAUAUACGGACGGGAUAACCGCUGAAAGCAUCUAAGCGGGAAGCCCCCCCCAAGAUUAGUUCUCCCUAGACUCUCGAAGUCUCUAAAGGGCCGUCGAAGACUACGACGUUGAUAGGCUGGGUGUGUACGUGCAGUAAUGCAUUUAGCUAACCAGUACUAAUUGCCCGUGCGGCUUGACCU